GUGAACGCUGGCGGUAGGCCUAACACAUGCAAGUCGAACGGCAGCACAGGAGAGCUUGCUCUCCGGGUGGCGAGUGGCGGACGGGUGAGGAAUACAUCGGAAUCUACUUUUUCGUGGGGGAUAACGUAGGGAAACUUACGCUAAUACCGCAUACGACCUACGGGUGAAAGCAGGGGACCUUCGGGCCUUGCGCGGAUGAAUGAGCCGAUGUCGGAUUAGCUAGUUGGCGGGGUAAAGGCCCACCAAGGCGACGAUCCGUAGCUGGUAUGAGGGGAGGAUCAGCCACACUGGAACUGAGACACGGUCCAGACGCCUACGGGAGGCAGCAGUGGGGAAUAUUGGACAAUGGGCGCAAGCGUGAUCCAGCCAUACCGCGUGGGUGAAGAAGGCCUUCGGGUUGUAAAGCCCUUUUGUUGGGAAAGAAAAGCAGCAGGUUAAUACCCCGCUGUUCUGACGGUACCCAAAGAAUAAGCACCGGCUAACUUCGUGCCAGCCGCCGCCGUAAGAC
rnacentral:rRNA from 1 species